rnacentral:tRNA from 1 species
CAAAUUAGAGCUUUAUAUAAGCGUUUUAUUUACGCUAAGAAGUUUGGUUGUGAAAUUCAACUUAAUUUGA